AUUGAACGCUGGCGGCAGGCCUAACACAUGCAAGUCGAGCGGAUGAAGGGAGCUUGCUCCUGGAUUCAGCGGCGGACGGGUGAGUAAUGCCUAGGAAUCUGCCUGGUAGUGGGGGAUAACGUCCGGAAACGGGCGCUAAUACCGCAUACGUCCUGAGGGAGAAAGUGGGGGAUCUUCGGACCUCACGCUAUCAGAUGAGCCUAGGUCGGAUUAGCUAGUUGGUGGGGUAAAGGCCUACCAAGGCGACGAUCCGUAACUGGUCUGAGAGGAUGAUCAGUCACACUGGAACUGAGACACGGUCCAGACUCCUACGGGAGGCCGCAGUGGGGAAUAUUGGACAAUGGGCGAAAGCCUGAUCCAGCCAUGCCGAGUGUGUGAAGAAGGUCUUCGGAUUGUAAAGCACUUUAAGUUGGGAGGAAGGGCAGUAAGUUAAUACCUUGCUGUUUUGACGUUACCAACAGAAUAAGCACCGGCUAACUUCGUG
rnacentral:rRNA from 1 species